GAUGAACGCUGGCGGCGUGCCUAAUACAUGCAAGUCGAGCGAACAGACGCGGAGCUUUCUCCUCUGUCGCUAGCGACGGACGUGUGAGUACCACGUAGAUAACCUACCUAUAAGACUAGGAUAACCUCGGGAGACCGGAGAUAGUACACGAUAAUAUAUUUAACCACAUGGUUCAUUAGUGAACGACGGAUUCUCUGUUACUAAUCGAUGGCUCCGAGCCUCAUUAGCUAGUUGGUAACGUAAAGGCUUACCAAGGCAACGAUGCGUAUACGACCUGAGAGGUUGAUCGGCCACACUGGAACUGAGACACGGUCCAGACUCCUACGGGAGGCAGCAGUGGGGAACCUUCAGAAAUGGGCGAAAGCGUGACGGAGCAACGCCGCGUGAGUGAAGAAGGUCGUCGGAUCGUAAAACACUGUAAAUAGGGAAGAACAUAUGUGUGAUUAGAUAUGCACGUUUUGACGGUACCUACUGAGAAAGCCACGGGUAACUACGUG
rnacentral:rRNA from 1 species